rnacentral:rRNA from 1 species
GAUGAACGCUGGCGGCGUGCUUAACACAUGCAAGUCGAACGAAGCACCUUGAUUUGCUUCUUCGGAUGAAGAUCUUGGUGACUGAGUGGCGGACGGGUGAGUAACGCGUGGGUAACCUGCCUCAUACAGGGGGAUAACAGUUAGAAAUGACUGCUAAUACCGCAUAAGACCACAGCACCGCAUGGUGCAGGGGUAAAAACUCCGGUGGUAUGAGAUGGACCCGCGUCUGAUUAGGUAGUUGGUGGGGUAACGGCCUACCAAGCCGACGAUCAGUAGCCGACAUGAGAGGGUGACCGGCCACAUUGGGACUGAGACACGGCCCAAACUCCUACGGGAGGCAGCAGUGGGGAAUAUUGCACAAUGGGGGAAACCCUGAUGCAGCGACGCCGCGUGAGCGAUGAAGUAUUUCGGUAUGUAAAGCUCUAUCAGCAGGGAAGAAAAUGACGGUACCUGACUAAGAAGCACCGGCUAAAUACGUG